UAUUGCACAAUGGGGGAAACCCUGAUGCAGCGACGCCGCGUGAGCGAUGAAGUAUUUCGGUAUGUAAAGCUCUAUCAGCAGGGAAGAAAAUGACGGUACCUGACUAAGAAGCCCCGGCUAACUACGUGCCAGCAGCCGCGGUAAUACGUAGGGGGCAAGCGUUAUCCGGAUUUACUGGGUGUAAAGGGAGCGUAGACGGCUGUGCAAGCCUGAUGUGAAAUACCGGGGCCCAACCCCGGGGCUGCAUUGGGAACUGCCAGGCUGGAGUGCCGGAGAGGCAGGCGGAAUUCCUAGUGUAGCGGUGAAAUGCGUAGAUAUUAGGAGGAACACCAGUGGCGAAGGCGGCCUGCUGGACGGUGACUGACGCUGAGGCUCGAAAGCGUGGGGAGCAAACAGG
rnacentral:rRNA from 1 species